UACGAAGGGGGCUAGCGUUGUUCGGAAUUACUGGGCGUAAAGCGCACGUAGGCGGACUGUUAAGUCGGGGGUGAAAUCCUGGGGCUCAACCUCAGAAUUGCCUCCGAUACUGGCAGUCUCGAGUCCGGAAGAGGAGAGUGGAAUUCCCGGUGUAGCGGUGAAAUGCGCAGAUAUCGGGAAGAACACCCGUGGCUAAGGCGGCUCUCUAGUACGGUACUGACGCUGAGACGCGAAAGCGUGGGGAGCGAACAGG
rnacentral:rRNA from 1 species